rnacentral:rRNA from 1 species
GACGAACGCUGGCGGCGUGCUUAACACAUGCAAGUCGAACGGAAAGGCCCUGCUUUUGUGGGGUGCUCGAGUGGCGAAAGGGUGAGUAACACGUGAGUAACCUGCCCUUGACUUUGGGAUAACUUCAGGAAACUGGGGCUAAUACCGGAUAGGAGCUCCUGCUGCAUGGUGGGGGUUGGAAAGUUUCGGCGGUUGGGGAUGGACUCGCGGCUUAUCAGCUUGUUGGUGGGGUAGUGUCUUACCAAGGCUUUGACGGGUAGCCGGCCUGAGAGGAUGACCGGCCUCGUUGGGACUGAAGUACGGCACAGAGUCUGGCGGGAGGCAGCAGUGGGGAAUUUUGUACGAUGGGCAGAAGCCUGAUGCAGCAACUCCGCGUGCGGAAUGACGGCCUGAGGGUUGUAUACCGCUUGAGCCUGUGGCGAAGCGUGAGUGACGGUAAUGGGUAAAAAGGCACCGGCUAACUACGUG